GCCCGGAUGGUGAAAUUUGGUAGACACGCUAGAUUCAGGGUCUAGUGCCAGCAAUGGUGUGGAGGUUCAAGUCCUCUUCCGGGCA
rnacentral:tRNA from 1 species